AUACGUAGGGGGCGAGCGUUGUCCGGAAUGAUUGGGCGUAAAGGGCGCGUAGGCGGCCCGGUAAGUCUGGAGUGAAAGUCCUGUUUUUAAGAUGGGAAUUGCUUUGGAUACUGUCGGGCUUGAGUGCAGGAGAGGUAAGUGGAAUUCCCAGUGUAGCGGUGAAAUGCGUAGAGAUUGGGAGGAACACCAGUGGCGAAGGCGACUUACUGGACUGUAACUGACGCUGAGGCGCGAAAGUGUGGGGAGCAAACAGGAUUAGAUACCCUCGUAGUCCACACUGUAAACGAUGAAUGCUAGGUGUAGGGGGUAUCGACCCCUUCUGUGCCGCAGUCAACACAAUAAGCAUUCCGCCUGGGGAGUACGGCCGCAAGGUUGAAACUCAAAUGAAUUGACGGGG
rnacentral:rRNA from 1 species